rnacentral:snRNA from 1 species
UCGAUUCCCAGCAGCCACA